rnacentral:rRNA from 1 species
CCUACGGGAGGCAGCAGUGGGGAAUAUUGGGCAAUGGGCGCAAGCCUGACCCAGCAACGCCGCGUGAAGGAAGAAGGCCCUCGGGUUGUAAACUUCUUUUAUUCGGGACGAAACAAAUGACGGUACCGAAUGAAUAAUCCACGGAAAACUACGUGCCAGCACCCGCGAUAACACGUAGGUGGCAAGCGUUAUCCGGAUUUUCUGGGUAUAAAGGGCGUGUAGGGGGGAGAGAAAGUCAGACGUAAAAUUCCAGGGCUAAACCCUGGAACUGCGGUUGAACCUGUUCUUCUUGAGUGAUGGAGAGGCAGGCGGAAUUCCGUGUGUAGCGGUGAAAUGCGGAGAUAUACGGAGGAACACCAGUGGCGAAGGCGGCCUGCUGGACAUUAACUGACGCUGAGGCGCGAAAGCGUGGGGAGCAAACAGGAGUAGAUACCGGUAGUC